GUCUGCAACUCGACUACAUGAAGCUGGAAUCGCUAGUAAUCGCAGAUCAGAAUGCUGCGGUGAAUACGUUCCCGGGUCUUGUACACACCGCCCGUCACACCAUGGGAGUCGGAAAUGCCCGAAGCCGGUGACCCAACCAAAAGGAGGGAGCCGUCGAAGGCAGGUCUGAUAACUGGGGUGAAGUCGUAACAAGGUAAC
rnacentral:rRNA from 1 species